rnacentral:rRNA from 1 species
AAUGAACGCUGGCGGCAUGCCUAACACAUGCAAGUCGAACGAAGGCUUCGGCCUUAGUGGCGCACGGGUGCGUAACGCGUGGGAAUCUGCCCUUGGGUUCGGAAUAACAGUUAGAAAUGACUGCUAAUACCGGAUGAUGUCGUAAGACCAAAGAUUUAUCGCCCAAGGAUGAGCCCGCGUAGGAUUAGCUAGUUGGUGGGGUAAAGGCCUACCAAGGCGACGAUCCUUAGCUGGUCUGAGAGGAUGAUCAGCCACACUGGGACUGAGACACGGCCCAGACUCCUACGGGAGGCAGCAGUGGGGAAUAUUGGACAAUGGGCGAAAGCCUGAUCCAGCAAUGCCGCGUGAGUGAUGAAGGCCUUAGGGUUGUAAAGCUCUUUUACCCGGGAUGAUAAUGGCAGUACCGGGAGAAUAAGCUCCGGCUAACUUCGUG